rnacentral:rRNA from 1 species
GAUGAACGCUGGCGGCGUGCCUAAUAUAUGCAAGUCGAGCGAAUGAUGAGGCGCUUGCUCAUCUGAUUUAGCGGCGGACGGUUGAGUAACACGUCGGUAACCUACCUAUAAGACUGGGAUAACUUCGGGAAACCGGAGCUAACCCCGGUAAAUAUUUAGCUUCGCAUGACGCUAUAGUGAAAGCCGGUUCUGCUGCCACUUAUAGCUGGACGUGCGGCGUAUUAGCUAGUUGGUGAGGUAACGGCGCACCAAGGCAACGAUACAUGGCCGACCUGAGAGGGUGAGCGGCCACGCUGGGACUGAGACACGGCCCAGACUCCUACGGGAGGCAGCAGUAGGGAAUCUUCCGCAAUGGACGAAAGUCUGACGGAGCAACGCCGCGUGAGUGAAGAAGGUUUUCGGAUCGUAAAACUCUGUUGUAAGGGAAGAACAAGUACGUUAGUAACUGAACGUACCUUGACGGUACCUUACCAGAAAGCCACGGCUAACUACGUGCCAGCAGCCGCCGUAACAC